CCGACUUUCUAGGACGUGUUUUAUGCCACUUCUUUUUCUGUCUCAUUUUGUCCACCACACUUUUAACGUUGUACAUGAGUGCACAAAGAAGACGGCCAGGGUGAAGACGGCGGUGACGGGCGGGGCCAGGUAGCUGGUCACGGACUGGAUGUACACGUAGAGCUGGCCGCUGUUGGCGGACUGUAAGAUGGGGAUCCAGACCACACUGAUCACCACCAGGACCACCGUGGAGAUCCUAAACCAAAAACAACUCACGAUGACGUCCGUUCACAGCUGGAGCUCGAUCACCUUUACAGUUGAAUCAUGCGUGUGCUGGAUGUUGUGUAAACGCCACCGCUCCCAACUGGUUUAACACCUGCCCACUAGAAGCAGCUCUCUCUCCGAGGCUCGCGGUCGCUGUUUCUUCCAGAUGUCCAUGGUGAACAGUGUGGAGCUGCUGUUGAAGAUGGAGGUCAGUGAUGACAUCAGAGCGGCCAUCAUCACCGCUAUCAUCAGCCCACGGAGGCCUG